ACUUGAAUAUUAAUAGCUACGAUCUUUAAAUUCAAAGAAUUUGGCGGUAUUUUAGUCUUGUUAGAGGAACCUGUUCUGUAAAUGAUACAGCACGAAGAAUCUUACUUACUUUUGUUUUACAGUUUGUAUACCGUCAUUAUUAGAUAACCUUUAUUGGGUUAAGUUAUUGAAAUUUAAGAAGUUAAAGUAUAUUAGAUCAAGGUGCAGCUUAUAGGUGAGAAGAAAUGGGUUACAAUAAAAUUUAUUUAUACGUAUCAGUGGUUGAAUAAUUUCUGUGAAGGAGGAUUUAAUUGUAACAUGUAAUUUAGUAAGUUGGUGUGGUAUGAGAACUAAAAUAUGUACAUAU
rnacentral:rRNA from 1 species